rnacentral:rRNA from 1 species
GAAACGACUGCUAAGACUGGAUAGGAGACAAGAAGGCAUCUUCUUGUUUUUAAAAGACCUAGCAAUAGGUAUGCUUAGGGAGGAGCUUGCGUCACAUUAGUUAGUUGGUGGGGUAAAGGCCUACCAAGACUAUGAUGUGUAGCCGGGCUGAGAGGUUGAACGGCCACAUUGGGACUGAGACACGGCCCAAACUCCUACGGGAGGCAGCAGUAGGGAAUUUUCGGCAAUGGAGGAAACUCUGACCGAGCAACGCCGCGUGAACGAUGAAGUAUUUCGGUACGUAAAGUUCUUUUAUUAGGGAAGAAUAAAUGAUGGAAAAAUCAUUCUGACGGUACCUAAUGAAUAAGCCCCGGCUAACUAUGUGCCAGCAGCCGCGGUAAUACAUAGGGGGCAAGCGUUAUCCGGAAUUAUUGGGCGUAAAGGGUGCGUAGGCGGUUAAAUAAGUUUAUGGUCUAAGUGCAAUGCUCAACAUUGUGAUGCUAUAAAAACUGUUUAUCUAGAGUAAGAUAGAGGCAAGUGGAAUUCCAUGUGUAGUGGUAAAAUGCGUAAAUAUAUGGAGGAACACCAGUAGCGAAGGCGGCUUGCUGGGUCUUUACUGACGCUGAGGCACGAAAGCGUGGGGAGCAAACAGGAUUAGAUACCCUGGUAGUCCACGCUGUAAACGAUGAGUACUAAACGUUGGGUAAAACCAGUGUUGAAGUUAACACAUUAAGUACUCCGCCUGAGUAGUACGUACGCAAGUAUGAAACUUAAAGGAAUUGACGGGACUCCGCACAAGCGGUGGAUCAUGUUGUUUAAUUCGAAGGUACCCGAAAAACCUCACCAGGUCUUGACAUGCUUCUGCAAAGCUGUAGAAACACAGUGGAGGUUAUCAGUUGCACAGGUGGUGCAUGGUUGUCGUCAGCUCGUGUCGUGAGAUGUUGGGUUAAGUCCCGCAACGAGCGCAACCCUUAUUGUUAGUUACCAGCACGCAAUGGUGGGGACUUUAGCAAGACUGCCAGUGAUAAAUUGGAGGAAGGUGGGGACGACGUCAAAUCAUCAUGCCCCUUAUGACCUGGGCUACAAACGUGAUACAAUGGCUGUUACAAAGGGUAGCUGAAGCGCAAGUUUUUGGCGAAUCUCAAAAAAACAGUCUCAGUUCGGAUUGAAGUCUGCAACUCGACUUCAUGAAGUUGGAAUCGCUAGUAAUCGCGAAUCAGCAUGUCGCGGUGAAUACGUUCUCGGGGUUUGUACACACCGCCCGUCA